CUCAUGAUAAUCUAAAUAAGCUGAAUGUGGAUGAAGAUUGAGGUCAUCUUAGCUGGUAGAAUCAAUCGGGACACUAAGCUGAGGAAGAGAGAGUUUGGAGCGUCAGCAUUGUUCACCCUCAUCACCAUUGCCAUGAGUCUUUUUGAAUGACUAUUAAAAACUGCUAGGCUCUUUGUAUUUAGGAUAUACAUGCAAUCUGCUGGAGCCUAAAAAAAUGGCCUCACAAUUAACAUCAAAUACAUCUUUUUAGUUAACAGGUCAGUAUGUGAUACUUGAAAGCGCUGCUACUUUAUUUUGCUUCGGAUUAGUCAGUGCCUUUUGUUAGAUUGCAAAAUCAAGGUACCAGCAAGAUAUUUACUUGCUACAAUUGGUCGAUUUGCUAAUCUUAUACUUCAUCUAGCUUAAUUAGCAAAGUUGUACACUAGGAUCAGGAUAUAAAUCAUGUUACAAUGCGAAAGAUACGAUGCUAUGUCACUUUUGGGGGAGUUUCUCUCUUCAUUUCAGGUUGAUACUUAUGGGGAAUACGAUCUCCUGUCUUGAUGGUACAUGCACCUGAAAGGUGAUGAUCUAAACUCGCUGCAACCCAAAGACCUGGUCAUGAUUGAUUACGCACCUGAUAAUGGGCUGACGAACCUGAACGAAAAAAUGGUAACAAAUCUGUUCAAUCAAAGAUCCUGUUGUUUUGGUAUGGCAUUGGUCUGUUUUGUUGAGGCAGAUGGAAUAUUGGGAAAGGCACAUGAGAAGCAAUAAGAUGUUGGAAGAUGAGAAUAAAUUGCUGACCUUUAAACUGGUAAGUUUCUGUUCUAAACCAGAGAGAAACCUGAAAGGCUACAUCCUCAAUAAACAGCUAAUAAGUUAUUGGCCUAAAUUUGGGUUCCUGACAGAUUAAUCAAGGCCAUUGUUAUUUGGUGAAAUAUGCUUGUAAACUGAAAAUCAGCCAUACAUCCCAUUACUCUCUCUUUGGCAUGUGAGAUACUUUGGUAAAAAGAAAACUCCAAAUAACAAUUGGUAAUCUUAUUAAUAUUUUCACACUGCUGCUGCCAUCCCAUGCUUUGCACUUAACAUGAAGCAUUGAUCAUUGCAACUACUUCUUUCAAAAAAACAUUUAAAUGCUUCUCAUUAAGUUAUUAAUCUAAAUAUUCAAUUUUUAAGCAAUGCUUUCUAUUAAGCUGUUUUGCUCAACUGAAGCUUACGCACAAAACAUGCACAAAACAUUUACAGUUACGAUCAGAUUUCCCUACCAAAAAUCACCCCACUCAUGAUAAUCUAAUUGAUUGUAACUUUACCUUUGUACCAAAUUUGAUAUUGUGCCUAUCAUAUGCAUCAAACUGCUGCAUCUCACUCUUUGAAUUUGGCUACGGGUCAAUAUCGCGCGCCAACGGCGUGCUAUGUUUCUAGUCCCUGUCUGGUC